rfam:Cavia porcellus supercont2_37 genomic scaffold, whole genome shotgun sequence.
GGAAGUGAGGACGACCUGGCUGUGACAUCUGUCAUUCCAUUGGUGGCCAGGGUUGAUUCGGCUGAUCUGGCUGACUAGGUGGGCGUCCCCUUCCUCCCUCUCUGCUCCAUGUGUUUCCCUCCCGAAGCUGUGUGCCUGGUCAGAGAGGAUGACCACCCCCGACAGAGGAGGACCAUUUUCUCUGUUAAGGGUAUAGGAGCAGCUGUGCUCCCCGGCUAGAACCUCCAAACAAGCUCUCAAAAAAACUUCUACCAAGACCUUUGCCAGUGUAAAAGAGAGGAAGCCAGAGCACAGAAGCCAGGAGACGAAAGCCAGUGCUCACAAAGCAGCCAGGUCUUCCAACCAGUACGCUGCACUGUGGCCUAAGGC